rnacentral:rRNA from 1 species
GAUGAACGCUAGCUACAGGCUUAACACAUGCAAGUCGAGGGGAACGAUAUUGGAAGCUUGCUUCCGAUAGGCGUCGACCGGCGCACGGGUGAGUAACGCGUAUCCAACCUGCCCAUCACUUGGGAAUAACCUUGCGAAAGUAAGACUAAUGCCCAAUGACAUUUAUAGAAGGCAUCUGAAAUGAAUUAAAGAUUUAUCGGUGAUGGAUGGGGAUGCGUCUGAUUAGCUUGUUGGCGGGGUAACGGCCCACCAAGGCGACGAUCAGUAGGGGUUCUGAGAGGAAGGUCCCCCACAUUGGAACUGAGACACGGUCCAAACUCCUACGGGAGCAGCAGUGAGGAAUAUUGGGUCAAUGGACGGAAGUCUGAACCAGCCAAGUAGCGUGCAGGACGACGGCCCUAUGGGUUGUAAACUGCUUUUAUGUGGGAAUAAAGUGAGGGACGUGUCCCUUUUUGUAGGGUACCACAUGAAUAA